GAUCACCGGAAGUCAAGCAUCAUUGGGCGCAGUCAGUACUUGGGUGGGUGACCACCUGGGAACACCGCGUGCCGUU